AGUGGAGCCUGCGGUUUAAUCGGACUCAACGCCGGGAAACGUCACCAGAUAAGACAGCUGAAUGAUAGUCGGGCUGAAGACUCUACUUGACUAGCUGAGAGGAGGUGCAUGGCCGUCGUCAGUUCGUACUGUGAAGCAUCCUGUUAAGUCAGGCAACGAGCGAGACCCACGCCAACAGUUGCCAGCUCGUCCUCCGGGAUGGUGGGGACACUGUUGGGACCGCCUCUGCUAAAGAGGAGGAAGGAAUGGGCAACGGUAGGUCAGCAUGCCCCGAAUUAUCUGGGCUACACGCGGGCUACAAUGGGUGGGACAAUGGGUAUCGACACCGAAAGGUGAAGGCAAUCUCCUAAACCCAUCCGUAGUUCGGAUUGUGGGCUGCAACUCGCCCACAUGAAGCUGGAAUCCGUAGUAAUCGUGUCUCAAAAUGGCACGGUGAAUAUGUCCCUGCUCCUU
rnacentral:rRNA from 1 species